rfam:Asian citrus Psyllid, Diaphorina citri - Florida Strain, whole genome shotgun sequence.
GCCUCGGUGGUUUAGUGGUCAAGACGCUCGCCUGGUAAACAGGAGGGCGUUGGUUCAAUCCCAGCCGAGGUA